rnacentral:rRNA from 1 species
AUGGCGAUCCUCUUAUGUUGUGUUACUUCCAAAGCCUUGGCGCCACACACUCCAGAGGUUUUUCGGCAACAACGGAGCACUGGUAUAUCUGCAUCAGCUCGUCCCCGGCAAAUCCCUAUCGGCUUAACCACGAAGUCUUGGGGCAUCAAUCCGCCGAUAAGAAGAGCAACACAAAUCCCAGCCGUCGGUGGAGACCCCGGAGAACUGCUAGUGCUAGGAGCCAAUCUCCCAAUACCCGACUUUUCUUCAUGGGCCACGUGGCUGGUUGGUGCCUUCUUUCUUGCAGCACCUGCUUACUGGCGAUUCAGAGCACUGGAAGAUAAGGCGGAGCAAACAGCAGAGGCAACAAUAGAGAUGGUCGAGAAGGUGGCCGAGGCGGCGGAGAGAAUCGCCGACGACGUCUCUGAAGUGUUUCCCGGCAAUGAAAGACUCAAGAAGGCAGCAUCCAGUGUCAAAGCCGUGGCAGAUGAGAUCGAGAAGGAUGUGGACAAAGCCGAGCACUACUCCAUAAGAUAG